rnacentral:rRNA from 1 species
UAACCUGCCUGGUAGCGGGGGAUAACUAUUGGAAACGAUAGCUAAUACCGCAUAACAACAGUUGUUGCAUGACAGCUGUUUAAAAGAUGCAAUUGCAUCACUACCAGAUGGACCUGCGUUGUAUUAGCUAGUUGGUGAGGUAACGGCUCACCAAGGCAACGAUACAUAGCCGACCUGAGAGGGUGAUCGGCCACACUGGGACUGAGACACGGCCCAG